rnacentral:lncRNA from 1 species
CAUCAUAUGACACAGUUGCAGCAGCCAUAAAGGAUCCACUCGUCUUGGCCAAAUUGCAGUUCUACGCAGCAAUUGCCAGGACCUUCAAUCCCUUCCUGAAAAAAUAUCAGACGGAUGAGCCUGUGCUCCCAUUCCUCCCCAAAGGACCUGACCGAGUUGAUGAUGGUAACAAUUUACUUAACGUUAUAACCACUGAUUGGGCUCAAUUGAUCCAUUAUGACAAAAUGGGGUUUGUGGUUAGGAUGUGUAAAAAAUAGUGGCUACAUUGUGCAUCAUCAUAAGAUAAUUUGAUGUUGGUGAUUAAUGUGCCGCACCAGACAUUUUUGUGUUUGUCUGUUGACAGUCUACUCAGACGCUUCAUAAAGAGAGACGUACUACACGAUAUCACUGCCCUGCAGCUGACCAAACUGGAUGUCACAGACAAGACCAUCUGGCUCAGCCCACAAGACAUCAGCAUUGGUCUAGGUGCAGAGUCAGUCCUUAAGGUAGUGUGAUGUUUUCAAAAGAUAAUUUUACAAAUGGUUAGGGUGAACCAGGUGUCAUUGAAGACAUGUUCUAUAUUCAUGGCUAAUUUCUCUCUAGAGAAUCAAAGGUGCAGAGCUCAGGGUGCUCGAGUUCAAGAGAGUGCAUGCAGGGACUGAGUAACAUGAUCAAGAAAGUGCAGGACAAGAGCCCCCUCAAGUAUCUGACUGUUAGGCAGAUGGUGUGCCUGAAUCCGUCAGUAAUGUAUAGAGAACCAGAAAGAGGCAGGAAUCACAUGAAAGGGCUGGUUCAAAGGUUUCUCCAGGACAAACAGCUUACUGAUACUUCUUCGGGGGAUGUCAUACUGCAGCAGUUUGACAGUCUCCUUUCCUUGGAGAGCCGGAGUGAGGACUUCCUCUCCUUUCAAACCAUGCAGACGAGGCUGGACAUCUUCCUGAGCAGCGCCAUGGAGCCUUAUCCCGAGCUGUGGGCCUUCUGCAAGAAGCUGCUCAUCCUCAUCCACGGUCAAGCUACAGUUGAGCGUGGAUUCUCAAUCAAUAAAGAGGUGGAGUCUGAUAACUUGGCGGAGGAUACUGUGGUCACACGGAGACUGGUGUGUGACUACAUCAUACAACAUGGAGGUGUUACCAAGGUUCCACUCAGUAAACCGCUACUGGAAAGUGUAGCAAGGGCAAGGACAAGGUAUCGUACCCAUCUGGAGACCAAAAGAAGGAACAGGGAGGCAAAAGACCAGGCUCUCAAGAGGAGGGAAGCAGAGGACUGUCUUGAGGAGCUGAAGGUUAAGAGGAGACGUGUACAGGAGGUAUCUGAGGGUCUGGCUAGGGAUGCGGACAAGAUGGCUGAGGAGGCUGAAGCGAAGGCAGGGAGCAAGAUGGCUGGCCUGAUCACCAGGUCAAACAUUCUGCGGAGAGGCCAUAAGGAGAAGUUGGCAGAACUGGCUCUCCUUGAUAAAGAGAUCGCUGCUAAGAGUGCAGAGCUUAGGAGUUGACUGUGUGAUCAUAAUUUUAUUUAUUGUUGAGUUGAUUUUCAUUGUUUAUUGUUGAGGAGUCUGUGCUGUUGGCGUAAGUACUCACCACUAUGCUGCAAUGUUCCAUCAUUCCAUAAUGCUUUACAGUCCACAUUUUCACAUUUGUUGAAAUAAAUGAACAAAUUUUGAACAAACGUUGUCGGUAGGUCUGUGAAAUAGGCCGUGAAAUAGGUAUUAAUUUUUAUAUAAGUGGUCUUAAAAGGGACUUAAAAAGACUUGAAUUUGACUUGAACAAACCUGUAGGAACCCUGUAAUAAAAUAACCUCAAACAGCU